UACGUAGGGGGCUAGCGUUGUCCGGAUUUAUUGGGCGUAAAGAGCGUGUAGGCGGCCAGAUAGGUCUGCUGUGAAAACUCGAGGCUCAACCUCGAGACGUCGGUUGAAACCGUCUGGCUAGAGUCCGGAAGAGGAGAGUGGAAUUCCCGGUGUAGCGGUGAAAUGCGCAGAUAUCGGGAAGAACACCCGUGGCGAAGGCGGCUCUCUGGGACGGUACUGACGCUGAGACGCGAAAGCGUGGGGAGCGAACAGG
rnacentral:rRNA from 1 species